rnacentral:rRNA from 1 species
GAUGAACGCUGGCGGCGUGCCUAAUACAUGCAAGUCGAGCGAACAGACGAGAAGCUUGCUUCUCUGAUGUUAGCGGCGGACGGGUGAGUAACACGUGGAUAACCUACCUAUAAGACUGGGAUAACUUCGGGAAACCGGAGCUAAUACCGGAUAAUAUUUUGAACCGCAUGGUUCAAAAGUAAAAGACGGUCUUGCUGUCACUUAUAGAUGGAUCCGCGCUGCAUUAGCUAGUUGGUAAGGUAACGGCUUACCAAGGCAACGAUGCAUAGCCGACCUGAGAGGGUGAUCGGCCACACUGGAACUGAGACACGGUCCAGACUCCUACGGGAGGCAGCAGUAGGGAAUCUUCCGCAAUGGGCGAAAGCCUGACGGAGCAACGCCGCGUGAGUGAUGAAGGUCUUCGGAUCGUAAAACUCUGUUAUUAGGGAAGAACGUAUGUGUAAGUAACUGUGCACAUCUUGACGGUACCUAAUCAGAAAGCCACGGCUAACUACGUGCCAGCAGCCGCGGUAAUACGUAGGUGGCAAGCGUUAUCCGGAAUUAUUGGGCGUAAAGCGCGCGUAGGCGGUUUUUUAAGUCUGAUGUGAAAGCCCACGGCUCAACCGUGGAGGGUCAUUGGAAACUGGAAAACUUGAGUGCAGAAGAGGAAAGUGGAAUUCCAUGUGUAGCGGUGAAAUGCGCAGAGAUAUGGAGGAACACCAGUGGCGAAGGCGACUUUCUGGUCUGUAACUGACGCUGAUGUGCGAAAGCGUGGGGAUCAAACAGGAUUAGAUACCCUGGUAGUCCACGCCGUAAACGAUGAGUGCUAAGUGUUAGGGGGUUUCCGCCCCUUAGUGCUGCAGCUAACGCAUUAAGCACUCCGCCUGGGGAGUACGACCGCAAGGUUGAAACUCAAAGGAAUUGACGGGGACCCGCACAAGCGGUGGAGCAUGUGGUUUAAUUCGAAGCAACGCGAAGAACCUUACCAAAUCUUGACAUCCUUUGACAACUCUAGAGAUAGAGCCUUCCCCUUCGGGGGACAAAGUGACAGGUGGUGCAUGGUUGUCGUCAGCUCGUGUCGUGAGAUGUUGGGUUAAGUCCCGCAACGAGCGCAACCCUUAAGCUUAGUUGCCAUCAUUAAGUUGGGCACUCUAAGUUGACUGCCGGUGACAAACCGGAGGAAGGUGGGGAUGACGUCAAAUCAUCAUGCCCCUUAUGAUUUGGGCUACACACGUGCUACAAUGGACAAUACAAAGGGCAGCGAAACCGCGAGGUCAAGCAAAUCCCAUAAAGUUGUUCUCAGUUCGGAUUGUAGUCUGCAACUCGACUACAUGAAGCUGGAAUCGCUAGUAAUCGUAGAUCAGCAUGCUACGGUGAAUACGUUCCCGGGUCU